GCUCCCUGAUGCGGCCUCCACUCUUCGCAGGGCCAGGGGGCGAGGAAGGAGGAGGGAGGGAAGAGGGAAGCUGGGGAGUGGGAGAGCGUCCUCCACGACCGCUUGGGUCCUCCGCGGGGCAGCCUCGGGGAGGGUGGCUGCAGGGCCCGGAGUCGCCUGGAUCGCAGCGCCAUCUCGUGGCUGCUGGCAGGUCUGCCUUGGGCCCUCUUGGCACAAGGCAAGGAAACAGGAGCUCUUCCCAUCAGUGACAGGUGCCCGCCGGCCCGCACCCAGGAGAAUGCUCCAGUGUCACCAGUGACUCCUGCUCCCACAUCUGCCUACAGGAAGCCCUCUUGGAACAAAAGCAUCUCACUUCUGGGAGGCAUCAAGUAGAGAUGAGGUCUCAAUGAAGCAGUGUUGUUGCCUGGGGUAAAUACCCGGGUUCAUCAUCUCGAGCCAAGAAGAUUAAGGACAUGAACACACAUGAAGAUCAAGGGAGAAGCAGUGAUGUUUUAGUAUCCAGAAAGUGGAAAUAACCCAAAUGCCCAUCAACAGCAGAAUGAAAUUGUACUAUAUUCACACCAUGGAAUAUUGUAUAGCAAAGAGAAUGAAUGAACUAUUAACAGAAAAGACAUGGACAAAUCUCAUAAACAUGAUGCUGAAAGAAACCACAGUCAAAAAAGAAGAUGCUUCCCAACCUUUUGCAGACCAUGGCAUACGCAGAAAAUGACAACAUCGGAAUGGCACACUGGCAUACCAGUUGGGGAUCCUUGCAGUCAAUGCUGACUGGACUCAUCCUUCAGCCGCCCCCAAGAAGAGAGAGAUCAAUACCUUGGCACAUCUGUGGGAAAGCUCCCAUUAGAGAGUGUGGGGAAGACACAGGCCUCCACAACACAUUUCAGGUUCUCUAAACUGGCAAAGGGGAAGAGUCUGGGCUUCCUUUGCCCUUUUGUUCUCAAAGAGCCCAGCUGUGCACACCCCUCACCCCUGCACUAUAGCUCCCAUUUGGGUAGUGAAAAAUCACAGGACUCAGGGGAGUUAUGCAGCAUUCGGGAAUGGAGACCUGGAAAGCCACACACUCCUCCUUGCUUUCCUGUGAGCCUCUCUUCUUGCUGUCCCCUUUACAACCAACAGUCCCUGCAGGGGGAAGACACUCUGCUUUAGUCAGUUCCACCUCCCUUCCAGAUCUCAUCCUCCUUUCAGCCUAAUUUUCCUCACACUGUCAUGCUCCUUCCCACUGCUCGCCCCCCACCCCCUACUCUCCUCCAGCACAUCACACAUUGCGCCUGGGCACACUGAGCUUGUCUGCCAUCUAUGAAGAGGCCCAUGUCACCCAAGCCCUUCUCUUUCCCUGUCAUGCCAUAGCCUCUUCCAGGAGCGCUCAGCCUGCUGUUUCUGCUCAGACCUCCCCUCCUCUGCAAAGCCUCCUUCUGCGUGCUGCCCGAGAGCCAUCCCCCACUUGGGUUUGUGUUACUGCUGUGUAUGGCAGCAUCUUCACUGUGCCUGAUUUCCCGUCUUGGCCCAUCGUAGGUGCUCAACAAUUGUUUCUCAAAUGACCAGCGCCUGCAGAGGGACCCUGACAUGAACUCCACCCCACCCCGACUCUUGGCAGUUACUCACUGUCCCCUUGAGUCGGGAUCCCAGCCCCUCAGGGGACCUGUCUUGCAGCCAUUCCACGCUCUGUCACCCCACUGCCAGGAGACUAGAGCCACACUGCCUGGAUGACGCUCAUCUUUACCAGCUCGCAGCUCUGCCAGCUGCCUGCUCAGGGGUGGCCGCCAGCUGAGGGAUUGAGCUGAUUAUAGGUGAAUCAGCACCAGGCUGAUUGUGGUGUGAAAAAGGGGAAGGGUGACUGUGUCUUAGCCUCAAUCCUGGCUCCCCUCCUUCCAGCCCUGACCUGCAGUAACAGCACAGGGCCACCAGAGGCUCUAUUGGGCGACUCAUGCCCCGCGGAGAAAGGCCCAGUAGGAGAGCAUCUGACCCAGUUCCCAGCAGAUGAGAAAGGAAGAAGAGUUCAGGAGGCUUCUACUCUCAGAGGUCUCCAGCACUGAAACCCCGCAGCCGCACCUGGCUGCCUUAUCCUUGUGUUUUGCCCCUCAUGGGUCUAGAAGCUGUUGUGUUACACCUUAACAUCUUCCUCCUUGCUUGCCAUGAGCCCCUCUGCUUGCAGCCCCCUUUACAGAACAACAGUCAUGGUAGAGGGAAGAUGUCUCCACUUUUGUCAGUUCUGCCUCCUUUAGGAGAGUGUCAGGCCUAACCCAUGUGUGCUCUGUCUUUCAGGGCAUGGAAAAGACUAUUGUCCUGUUUCGUCUUUUCAACACCUCUUGACUCUCUCCCCCUGGUUUCCUAACAGCCAGCUAGGUUCAGGGCCUCCCAUCUCUGGCCAGGAUUAGUGCAAUGGCUUUCUGAAGGGUCCCAGGCUCCAGGGAGCCCCUUGCCCAUCAAGUCUCUACCCUGGAGCCAGACAGCCCUUACUUCCAUCAGACAUCAGCCUCCAGUGGCUCCGAAAGGCCAGGCAUCCACACAGCACCCCACGGCCCCAAGAACUGGCUGCUUGAUUUUCCUGCCCUGUGUCCCUCCUCUCCUUGGCCCUCUACCCAGCAAUCACCCCAAAACACUGUGAUGUUUCAAGCCUUUGUACUUUGCACACAUUCUUCUCCAUGGCCUAAUUCCCUCUCUCCACCCCUCACUCCACACCUCCUCCACCUUUACCCUUUCUCCCCAUUCUUUCUUCACCGGGCACAGCCCUACUUAUCCUUCAAAACUGCCACUUCCUCUGCGAAGCCUUUCCUGACCCGUGUCCCAGAAUCCCUCCUCUGAACAAAUCCUGUUCCCUAAACAUGCAUCUCUCAUUGUAUCUGUCACUCAAGGGUUGCAAUAAUUACACACACGCCUGUCCUUUGUCCUCCACUGGCUCUGUACCUCCAUGUGGGACCCAUGGCCAGCACACAUUGGUGGUGCCCGAAAGCUGUUGCACUGGAGUUGUUCCUUCUGCCCCAUCACCUCCCACCUUGAACAAGUCCUUUAGAUGACCUGAACUCCAGUUUGUUGAUCUGCAAAAUGGAGAGAUGUGAGAAUCAGAAGAGAACACGUAAUGAAAGGGUGUUAUAAACUGCUAAGGGCUGUACAAAUGUUUGUAUUGCAUUUUUGUCUUCCAGACUAGUGUUUACCUACACUUGCCUGUGUGGAAAUCAGAAGAUUAAAGGAAUGCGAUGUGAUCUUUUUGUAAUUUCCCCACUUGGGUCAAGGGAAAAGCUGGUCAAGAGUAAACCAUUAAUUCAUCCCCCUGCAGGCCCCCCAAUCUUCCCUAGAAUUCUGGGUUAAUGAUUCUGAGGUUGUUUUCCUCACAGAGCCAAUUCAUAUCUAAUCUUUGGCAUGUUCCCCCCUUUAUUAAGAAUAACUUGACUCACCCCAUUAAUUCCUCAUCCUGGGGUCACGAGCCUUGUUUUGCAGAAGGAAAUGGUGGCUGUGUGUAUGUCUUGGGCCUUCUUUCUUUCUCAAACCCCUUUCUUUCAUGGAUUCAUGCCUACAAUUCCCUCUGUGGACAGAAGAGACCUCUCCUUACCUGCAUAAUGAAAUGUGUGACUUUUCUCAAAAGUAGCUUUAGGAAUUAACUGUGGAGGUCCAAGUAGCAAGGAUGCUGUGACCUAACUCGUUACCCCCUCACGUGUGGUUUGGAAUCCCAGCAGAAAAAAUUUCCUGAAGAUCUGGUACGGAGAAACCAUUCUGGGCCUGGCUUUUAAAUGUUUUAUUAGCAGCUGGGCGAGGACUGGGCUGCAAAGAGAUGCAGCCCCCGUCAGAAGCGAUCCCUGUUGGGGAGCAAGGCCUGGAAUUCCAGGAGGGAGGUCUGUUUAUAGCUGAGGCAGAGGCUGGGGAGCGAAGCCUGGGAGCCAGACAUGGCUUAAGGGUGGUCUGGACACUCUUGAGAUAAGGCCAACUAAGGACUAUGAGCUCAUUGAAGUUCCAAAGCCAACUCACAGCAGCUCACCACCAGACAUGUCCCCUGCCCCCACAUUCCCUCCUCUCAAUCCAGGAAUUUUGGUGCUCAUCUCUAUAAAGUUUUAGACCAUGGUGGUAGGAACCUGGUAAGUCUCAGGUUCUUGCAUUGCCCGAUUCUCCUUGGAUUUGCUGGGUUUGCCUCCUUCCCAUGUCUCAGACAGGGCUUUGCAUAAAGAAGUGGGCUGGUAGAUCUGCAAAGGUCCCUCUGUGUGACUGGAGCAAGUUACCCUCUUGAGCCUCAGUGUCCUCUUCUGUAAAAUAGGGAUAUCAUUCUUUCUUUCCCAAGGCUUUUGGUAAUAAUGUCAUUCUCAUGUGAUUCUUAACAAAAUGGGCCUUUCAGACUUAGAUCACUUUUGUGCAUGCAUAAAAAUGAAAGCAUUGAGGAGAAGGAAUUGGUGAAUAUAUGUCUGGAGCAAUAACUUCAUCAGAACUGCCACGGUGGUUGUAGGACCAUUCUGAUUCCAGAGGUAUUAAAAUGCAAAACACAAUGUUGAAAUGCAAAACCCAACAAAAUAAUAAACAGCCUUGUACCUACCGCCUCCCUUAAGAACUAAAACAAUUCCCAACACCACUGAAAGACUGUGUUCACCUCCUUGAUCCAAUCUCUUGCCUUUCCACCCCAGAGAAAACCACUGUCCUGAAUUUUUUCCCACUCCCUUGGUUUUGUUUUACCAAACAUGUAUCCAAUAUGUAACAUAUUAUUUGUAUUUGAUCUUGUUUUUGAAUUGUCCUGUAGGUAGAAUUAUAUCUUAUUCUGCAAUUUGCUUUUUAAAGUUUUUGAAAGAGCAAAACUUAUCUAUGCUAAUACGCUAAUGUGUGUAGCUGCCAUUUAUUUGUCACUGCAUAUACCCCUCUCAAUUCUGUUGAUGGAAAUUUAGGCAGUUUCCAGUAUUAUUUUGCUACAAACAUUCUCAUGGCUGUCUCCUGCAACAUGUGUGUUUCUUGGGAGUAUAC
rnacentral:lncRNA from 1 species